CAGUAGCCGCGGUAAUACAGAGGGUGCGAGCGUUAAUCGGAUUUACUGGGCGUAAAGCGUGCGUAGGCGGCUUCUUAAGUCGGAUGUGAAAUCCCUGAGCUUAACUUAGGAAUUGCAUUCGAUACUGGGAAGCUAGAGUAUGGGAGAGGAUGGUAGAAUUCCAGGUGUAGCGGUGAAAUGCGUAGAGAUCUGGAGGAAUACCGAUGGCGAAGGCAGCCAUCUGGCCUAAUACUGACGCUGAGGUACGAAAGCAUGGGGAGCAAACAGGAUUCGAUACCCCUGUAGUCCCUGUCUCUUAUAC
rnacentral:rRNA from 1 species